CCAAGAAUGGUUGGGAAAUGGGUGGAUGCAUAUUAAGGCCAGGCCAGAUAUUGCGCUUUCUGUAUCAUCUAUCUCAGAAACAAAGCAAGUUGUCAAAUCUGAUGAGAACAAAUUGAUUCAAACUGCCAUUUCUGAAACUACACAAUCAGUAAAAAGAAAACCUGGAUGUAGUGAUUAUUCGUCAGAUUCUGGAAGUGAUAUGGGAAGAGAAUCAGUUGUGGUUCCAGAUCUUUCAAAAGAUAGUUACCUAGCCCAGUUAAGGUGGAACGCAUCAAAGAAGAGAAGACGUGGUAGUGUGAGCUCUGGCCAGAGAAUGCGUAAUAAAAAAGAUGGCAAUGAGAGCUCAACACCAGUUUUUGGUUCCAACGCCUGUGAGAGAUUUAUGCUUUCAAUGACUCGCAAAGUUGAUCAUGAGAAUUGCAAGUAUAUGGGGGAUUCUCUGUUUAGUACUGCUGUUGCACAGCCUCUAACAAGCUUGGUUAUGUCUAGGUGAUAGGUACCUUUUUGGUGGGAAGCGUCACGAUCCAUUUCUGUAAUUAUAUAACCCCUCGGGUUUUCUGGUUUAUGUUUUUCAUUGGUAUACAUGUUUCGUUGUGCACGCACUUGAUGCACUU
rnacentral:misc_RNA from 1 species